UGGAAUGAGUUAAGUAUAAACCCCUUUACAAGUAUCAAUUGGAGGGCAAGUCUGGUGCCAGCAGCCGCGGUAAUUCCAGCUCCAAUAGCGUAUAUUAAAGUUGUUGCAGUUAAAAAGCUCGUAGUUGGAUUUCUGUUAAUAAUUUAUAUAAAAUAUUUUGAUGAAUAUUUAUAUAAUAUUAACAUAAUUCAUAUUACUAUAUAUUUUAGUAUAUGAAAUUUUACUUUGAGAAAAUUAGAGUGCUUAAAGCAGGCAUAUGCCUUGAAUACUCCAGCAUGGAAUAAUAUUAAAGAUUUUUAUCUUUCUUAUUGGUUCUAAGAUAAGAAUAAUGAUUAAUAGGGACAGUUGGGGGCAUUUGUAUUUAACAGUCAGAGGUGAAAUUCUUAGAUUUGUUAAAGACAAACUAAUGCGAAAGCAUUUGCCAAGGAUGUUUUCAUUAAUCAAGAACGAAAGUUAGGGGAUCGAAGACGAUCAGAUACCGUCGUAGUCUUAACCAU
rnacentral:rRNA from 1 species